rnacentral:rRNA from 1 species
AACGAACGCUGGCGGCAUGCCUAACACAUGCAAGUCGAACGAGACCUUCGGGUUUAGUGGCGCACGGGUGCGUAACGCGUGGGAACCUGCCCUUAGGUUCGGAAUAACUCCCCGAAAGGGGUGCUAAUACCGGAUAAUGUCUUCGGACCAAAGAUUUAUCGCCUUUGGAUGGGCCCGCGUUGGAUUAGCUAGUUGGUAGGGUAAAAGCCUACCAAGGCGACGAUCCAUAGCUGGUCUGAGAGGAUGAUCAGCCACACUGGGACUGAGACACGGCCCAGACUCCUACGGGAGGGAGCAGUGGGGAAUAUUGGACAAGGGGCGAAAGCCUGAGCAAGCAGUGCCGCGUGAGUGAUGAAGGCCUUAGGGUUGUAAAGCUCUUUUACCCGGGAUGAUAAUGACAGUACCGGGAGAAUAAGCACCGGCUAACUCCGUG